rnacentral:rRNA from 1 species
CCUACGGGUGGCUGCAGUGGGGAAUAUUGGACAAUGGGGGCAACCCUGAUCCAGCCAUGCCGCGUGUGUGAAGAAGGCCCUCGGGUUGUAAAGCACUUUCAGUGAGGAAGAACGCCUGGUGGUUAAUACCCAUCAGGAAAGACAUCACUCACAGAAGAAGCACCGGCUAACUCCGUGCCAGCAGCCGCGGUAAUACGGAGGGUGCGAGCGUUAAUCGGAAUUACUGGGCGUAAAGCGCGCGUAGGUGGCUUGAUAAGCCGGUUGUGAAAGCCCCGGGCUCAACCUGGGAACGGCAUCCGGAACUGUCAAGCUAGAGUGCAGGAGAGGAAGGUAGAAUUCCCGGUGUAGCGGUGAAAUGCGUAGAGAUCGGGAGGAAUACCAGUGGCGAAGGCGGCCUUCUGGACUGACACUGACACUGAGGUGCGAAAGCGUGGGUAGCAAACAGGAUUAGAUACCCCUUAGUC